rnacentral:rRNA from 1 species
GUGAGUCAUCGAAUCUUUGAACGCACCUUGCGCCCCUUGGUAUUCCGAGGGGCAUGCCUGUUUGAGUGUCUCGAAACAAUCGUCCCGUGCGGUCGCUGCAAAGCGACCGUUCCUCGGGUCGGACUUUGGGGGGUUCUCUGCUGCCGCAAGGCGGCUCCCCUUGAAUGCGUCGGCUUCUGUUGGCCCUCUUCUGUGGUCUGUGCUGCCUGGGCGUUGUAUCUUCCUCGCUCUGCUGUGUGGCACAUGUCCCGGAGGUUGGACCUAGCCUCGGCCUUGCCUUUGGAGUGGCGGCCACUGCACUUUGUUGCGAAUCUGACCUUCAAUCAGGUAGGACUACCCGCUGAACCUUAAAGCAUAUCAAUAAGCGGAGG